AACGAACGCUGGCGGCAGGCCUAACACAUGCAAGUCGAGCGAGGACUUCGGUCCUAGCGGCGGACGGGGGAGUAACGCGUGGGAACGUGCCCUUUGCUUCGGAAUAGCACUGGGAAACUGGGGGUAAUACCGGAUGAGCCCUUUGGGGGAAAGAUUUAUCGGCGAAGGAUCGGCCCGCGUUGGAUUAGGUAGUUGGUGGGGUAAUGGCCUACCAAGCCGACGAUCCAUAGCUGGUUUGAGAAGAUGAUCAGCCACCCUGGGACUGAGACACGGCCCAGACUCCUACGGGAGGCCGCAGUGGGAAUCUUAGACAAUGGGGGAAACCCUGAUCUAGCCAUGCCGCGUGAGCGAUGAAGGCCUUAGGGUUGUAAAGCUCUUUCAGCUGGGAAGAUAAUGACGGUACCAGCAGAAGAAGCCCCGGCUAACUCCGUG
rnacentral:rRNA from 1 species